UCCCGGCUGCCCCGCCCCGCCCGGCUGGAGAGACUUCGCCCCUGGCGGGAGGGGGCGGAGGCUAAGGGCCCAGCCGCAGGAAGCAGGCGGACGCGUGCACGGGCCCGUACCACUUCGGCGGGCCCGGUCCUGGGAGCAGAGUGACUUUCGCUCGCUUUGAGCAAGCUGUUCCAGAUGAGAGGGGCCCCAUCAAGCUCCUUUCCUGCGAACUACGCUCAGCACCUCAGCAUCAAGCCGCUGUAGCUUUGGACUGUGUCUGUGAGCAUCUGUGCUUGUAUCUGGAUUUAUUUGGUGCAUUCAUUAGUAAGAUGUGUCCUAAGAUCGAACACCAUCACUCAAGUCAAACAGCAAAUGCAGUUGACAGGAUGUGCAUGUGGCUGAUCAUAAAUGAUACUGCUGUGCCUGUGCGUCAAUAGCAGCUCUCAACAUGGAGCCCCUGCAGACAGGUACAAACACAUGGACUGGCACAACCUCACUUCAUUCUGUUACAAAAUCACGUGCUUCUCUGAUGCUUGAGAGGGAUAUGCCACAUAUAGAAAAGGAAAUUACAACCAUUCAGUGACACUGCCCGUGUGACUUAACCAAGCUAAUGUAGCAAUGUUGAUCCAAAUCAAGUUUAAUGACAAAUCCUGUUAGGAGUGACCUGUGCCUACUUGGGUUAUAUGCUUGUAUGUGGCUAGAAAUGGGCCAAGGAAUCUCUCUCCAUUAGGGAUAGAGGUUGUUUUUUGGCUCAUCUAUUGCCUCCUGUAAUUAUUGGCAAUGACACCAAAGAUCAGCAGGUUAGUGAAAUGAAUAAUGGAUGGGCCUUAGGCUAGACUACAUCCUGACUGUCUGAAAUAGAGUCCUCUGGUCUUCCCUGGGAUAGUCACCUGGGUUCAGGACUCUGGAAGGCAUAUUUGAGGUCAAUACUUGAGGUUAAUUUCAUCUUGUUGUUUGGAGUCCCGAUGAUAGUAGCCUUGUGUGAGAAAUUUAGUUCUAGCCUCUGUUGGUUAAAGUAAUCAGAAUGGCCAAUAGAGUGACAUACUUUUGUGAGAGUUUGCUAGAAGCCAAGACAGGUAGGGGCAAUAGGUGGAUUGAUGGGGAAAACAAUCUUCCACAGGUCCUGAACAUCCCUGCACAUUUUUGCUAGGUAUGCCAAGAAUUCAAGUUCCUUCCUGACUAUUCUUUCCUAAUGCCAUUUCUCUGGGUUGUGUUUAUAGUGAACACUGUGAGGGUUGAAGUUAUAUCAAGUCAUAUGUUUGCUUCUAAAUUAUUGGGUGUGUGUGUGAAGAAUUGAGUGAGAGUGUAGGUGAACCAUAUCAUCUAAAAAUUUGUAAUUGUUGAGGCUGGGUCAUAGGUACAUGUGGGUUCAAAGUACAGGCUUUUUUACCACUUAUUAUAAAAACAGUAGAUUCCCAAGUGUGUUCCUUGUUAGCAAUACAAACUCAUUGUAUGUAUUAUAUCCUUCUGGGCCCCUCUAUGUUACCCCCAUGGGAUCUGGGAUAAGGCUCAUGCUGCUUGUUGUGUCAUGAGUAAUAAAGUCCUCUUCUGUGA